rnacentral:rRNA from 1 species
CCUACGGGUGGCAGCAGUGGGGAAUAUUGCGCAAUGGGCGAAAGCCUGACGCAGCGACGCCGCGUGAAGGAUGAAGGUCUUCGGAUCGUAAACCUCUGUCAGCAGGGAAGAACGGUCACUGUGCUAAUCAGCAGUGAAUUGACGGUACCUGCAAAGGAAGCACCGGCUAACUCCGUGCCAGCCGCCGCGGUAAUACGGAGGGUGCGAGCGUUAAUCGGAAUUACUGGGGGUAAAGCGCGCGUAGGCGGUAUGUCAAGUCAAGGGUGAAAUCCCCGCGCUCAACGUGGGAACUGCCUUUGAAACUGGCAAACUGGAGUGUGGGAGAGGAUAGUGGAAUUCCAGGUGUAGGAGUGAAAUCCGUAGAUAUCUGGAGGAACACCAGUGGCGAAGGCGACUAUCUGGCACAUAACUGACGCUGAGGAGCGAAAGCGUGGGUAGCAAACAGGAUUAGAUACCCCUGUAGUC